ensembl:lncRNA
GCUAUAUGUAUUAUAUUUCAUUUAAAAUUCGCAUUUAUUUGGUUAUGUAUGUUUUUGUGAUGCCUUGACAAUUAAAAAAAAAAAGGAAAUCUUGAAAUGUACCAUGUUUUCCACUGAGCGGCGCUACGCCCUAAUAAAAUCUCCUAGGUUGGAGAGAAAUCUUGAAGAAUUGUGCUGCUUUUUUCUGUUUCUUUAACGUUAACGACGACUCUUUUAGCUCUUUUAACCAAGAAAAAAGCGUGAGAAAAUAUACAGAUCUCAAGGACUAAUAUAUUCAGAUUUUGUGCACUUUUUUCUUUUAAAUUUAUUGCAAAAUUUCUAGCAAGCAGUCAGAUUCUCUUGCACUCAACGCAUUGAUCUGUAAAACGACGGAGCUCCCAGUGAACAGCACGUGAAACAUCAGAUAAGCAGAUCCUGUACACUUUAUUGUCGUUUGGACAGCAGUAGCAGAGGCAGAUCAUUUCCCAUCUGUCAAGUCAACCAUGGCAAAUCAUGGUUAGAAAGUGUAUUGUGUACGUUUUGAUCUAGAUGUUAACAAAAGAUGGGAAGCAUAUGAGACCUCUCAUAAAAGAGAUUUAAUCUAUAGAUCCAUCUCAUGUCUUCCAAUUCUAAGGUGAGAUUUUAUUAUUAUUAUUUUUUUUUUAAAGAAAUGUGAUGCAAAUGUCAGAGGUAGGAUUCAUCUAAAUUUUUACUUGUUUCAAACACAAGGCCAAAAAAAUCUGGCAAUAUCUAUAGAAAUUCAUUUGCACUGGAUGAUUCGGUGGAAGCAACUACAUACAGUGAAGAUUUCUGCUGGAAGCCUGUGUCAAAGACAGCUUGCAUAAGGUCUGCCACAGCAUCAGGAAACCGAAGGUACAAUCCACACCCAAGCCAGGCGUUCAUGGUAUGGAGGCAUUCUGCAGAUCAAAUGAAAUGUUUUAGUGGUAGUUCCCCUCUUCAGCUCCCUUUGACUGAGAAGGAAAUCUAAAAGGCUGUAAGUGCCCAGUACAGGUCGACCUACAGGACUGACUUUCUUGGAUUACCUCAAGGUGAAUUUUAGGAAUUAUUGCACAGACAAUUGUUUAUACAUUUCAAAGCCAUUUGAAUCUUAUUUAAUAUCAAGGUCUUGUGAUUCCAAAGAUUAUUAUAUGUCAUGUUAUAACAACUUUUUAUGUUCUGUCUAAAUCACAGGAAUUAUGAAAAACCAUGCGACCUUUGCACCUUGUAACCGCAGCCAUGUUGUCCACUACUAUACCUAGACUGAAAUAAGACAUAACUACCACCCACCCAAACUGAAACUUGAGCUUCUGGGGAACAACUCUCGCUAUGGGUGCAAUAAGCUGCAUGGUGUAGCAGCGAGGGGUAUUGGUAAGCUUCUACUAAACUGUUACGUUUCUGUUUGUGUGCAUUGGGGAUGAAAGACCAAACUACUUUGUUUGAAACUGAUAUGACAGCAAUCCCCUGCAGUAGUCUAGACACAAUGUAAUCACAAAGGAGUAGACUGGACACACAAUGAUCAGAUUUAAAGGAAUAGUUUGGAGAAAUUCAGCAUUACAUCACUUGCUCACCAAUGGAUUCUCUGUGGUGAAUGAGUGCUGUCAGAAUGAGAGUCCAAACAGCUGAUAAAAACAUCACAAUAAUCCUUAAUAUGAUUAAAAAUCAGGCAGUUAGUGAAGUGACAUACAGCCCAGUAUGGUGACCCAUACUCAAAAUUCGUGCUCUGCAUUUAACCCAUCCAAAGUGCACACACACAGCAGUGAACACACACACACACAGUGAACAGCCAUUUAUGCUGCGGCGCCCGGGGAGCAGUUGGGGGUUCGGUGCCUUGCUCAAGGGCACCUCAGUCGUGGUAUUGCUGGCCCGAAACUCGAACCCACAACCUUAGGGUUAGGAGUCAAACUCUCUAAUCAUUAGGCUAAGACGUCCCCUUAGUUAACAAUUACAAAGAAACUCCUGAUAAUUAUUCAUUUAUUGCUAACAAAACA